GUAUAMUGCAGUCGAGCGAACUGAUUAGAAGCUUGCUUCUAUGACGUUAGCGGCGGACGGGUGAGUAACACGUGGGCAACCUGCCUGUAAGACUGGGAUAACUUCGGGAAACCGAAGCUAAUACCGGAUAGGAUCUUCUCCUUCAUGGGAGAUGAUUGAAAGAUGGUUUCGGCUAUCACUUACAGAUGGGCCCGCGGUGCAUUAGCUAGUUGGUGAGGUAACGGCUCACCAAGGCAACGAUGCAUAGCCGACCUGAGAGGGUGAUCGGCCACACUGGGACUGAGACACGGCCCAGACUCCUACGGGAGGCAGCAGUAGGGAAUCUUCCGCAAUGGACGAAAGUCUGACGGAGCAACGCCGCGUGAGUGAUGAAGGCUUUCGGGUCGUAAAACUCUGUUGUUAGGGAAGAACAAGUACRAGAGUAACUGCUYGUACCUUGACGGUACCUAACCAGAAAGCCACGGCUAACUACGUGCCAGCAGCCGCGGUKACG
rnacentral:rRNA from 2 species